rnacentral:lncRNA from 1 species
AGUUCACAAGAAUGGAAAAAGAAGAAGGGUAAAUCGAUUUUGGGAGCAUUAAGAGCUUCAAAUUGGUUGUUCAUGGUGGUUGUGGUAUUGAUGUCAAUGGCAAUUUUGUAAUUACUUGAAAAUGAUGAGGGUGAGAGAGUAAAGAUGUCAUUUUCGAAAAAAAAAAAAAAAACUUUGAUGGCAUUUUCGUAAAUUAUAUGAACUUGUGGGGCGAAUAGGGAAAAACUAAUUUUCAAAAAAAAAGGAGGUUAGUUUUGUGUUUGACUUUAAGUUGUAGGUCAAUAUUGCAAAAAGCCCAUAAAAUAAUAACUUAAAUCAAAAUAAUAAAAAUGUAUUACAUUUAUUUUCACUUAAUUUUUCACUCCAUAUAAUUAUUUUACUAAAUAAAAAACUCUUUCUAUUUCAC